UCAGACGAUGCGUCAUGCAUAUCAAUAAGCGGAGGAAAAGAAACUAACAAGGAUUCCCCUAGUAACGGCGAGUGAAGCGGGAAGAGCUCAAAUUUGAAAUCUUAAAGGGUUUCCCUUUACGAAUUGUAGUUUAAAGAAGUGUUUUCUGUUGAGGUUUUGGUAAAAGUUCUUUGGAAUAGGACAUCAUAGAGGGUGAGAAUCCCGUAUUUGACCUUUACUUUCAACUUUGUGAUACACUUUCAAAGAGUCGGAUUGUUUGGGAAUGCAGUCCAAAAUGGGUGGUAAAUUUCAUCUAAAGCUAAAUAUUGGCGAGAGACCGAUAGCGAACAAGUACCGUGAGGGAAAGAUGAAAAGAACUUUGAAAAGAGAGUUAAACAGGUACGUGAAAUUGUCAAAAGGGAAGCGUUUGACACCAGUGUUGUUUUUCUGAAAAUCAAUUAAAGAACUGUUUAUGCUAAGCUGUUUAGACUUUAUCAGCUAAUCUGUUUAGUUUUGAGCUUUUCUUUAAUGCACUUUUCAGUUAACAAGUCAACAUCAAUUUCUUUUGCUGUAAAAAAGCUUGAGGAAGGUGGCUUGAGAUUCGUCUUAAGUGUUUAUAGCCUCUUGCCUAUGCAGUCGGAGAGAUUGAGGUCUGCAGCGUAGAUCCUUCGGGGCUAAAUGCAUUUGUGCUCAGUUAUAGCAUUUCAUAGACAACUUGUUGACUAUGAUUUGUCCUGUAGCUUACUCGCUUAUGUUAUUCUACCUACGCUUAGGAUGUUGAAUCUGUGCGAGACUAC
rnacentral:rRNA from 1 species